CCUUCGAUAGCUCAGUUGGUAGAGCGGAGGACUGUAGGUGAGACAGUUGGGCAUCCUUAGGUCGCUGGUUCGAAUCCGGCUCGAAGGA
rnacentral:tRNA from 2 species